rnacentral:rRNA from 1 species
CAGAGGGUGCGAGCGUUAAUCGGAAUUACUGGGCGUAAAGACGCGCGUAGGCGGCUUGUUAAGUCGGAUGUGAAAUACCCUGGGCUCAACCUAGGCAUUGCAUACGAUACUGGCAAGCUAGAGUAUGGGAGAGGAAGGUAGAAUUCCGGGUGUAGCGGUGAAAUGCGUAGAGAUCUGGAGGAAUACCGAUGGCGAAGGCAGCCUUCUGGCCUAAUACUGACGCUGAGGUGCGAAAGCAUGGGGAGCAAACAGGAUU